GGCAUGCGGCGAUAGGUGUAAUGAUGUGUGGACGUUUGGACAUCUGCACGUCUUGGGAAAUUCAAAAAAAAAAUUUCACGGAUUAAGAGGGUAAUGAUGAAAGGACAUUUCAAGUCAUGCUGAGAAGAGGACACUUGGCGAGAUAUUUGACGAGAUCAAGAUCUUGCAAUCGUGCUUCAUAAAUGAACCUCGAGAGAUGGAGCAUGGUUUCACUUCUUCAAGGUUAAGGCUCGGCCAGAGAUUUCAGGCCAAAAAAAGCCUCAGAAGCGAAGGGGCAAUGUUUGGGCCCAAAAUGUUGGUUAGGCCGAGUUUUAUUCUCGACCCAGAAGGUCUUACGAAAAGGUUAUCGUGGAUUGCCUAGUUCAUGGGCUUCCUAGCCUAGGUCGGCCAAGUUUUGCUGCGAGACAAGUAAUUGAAUCCUGGUACAAUAAGGAAUCUCGGCAUAAAAAUAUUGAUAACCUGGAAGUGAAUACAGUUUGAUAAAGGAUUGGGUUCAAAGUCAUAGUAAAAAUAGGACUGGUCGAGAUAGUGUUUGAUUAGAAUAAGGAGUCCUAAUCUGAUUAGGGUUUUAAUUCGAUCUAGAGAGGACCUGAUGCUAUAAAUAGAGGAAGUUGUGCAUCAUUCAAGCUUUCUCCAAUUCAACACACAACUGCAUUGCGUAAAUUCUCUCAACAACCUUGAGAUUUUUUCCUUUUUCUUUUCGCCGAAACACCUUCAGUUUGGAUAAACAGCACUGUGAAGGCAACCGGUGAUAUCUUCAGUUGGCAUAAACAGCACUGUCGCCGGAGAAUCAACCGGUCUCACAGUAUCUUCAGUCGGCAUAGACAGCACUACGUCGAGGGCGACUGGUUAUCUAUCCAAGUCUCGGUCGAGAAGGAUUUCUGAAUCCUUAUUGGUCGAGGUCAUCUCAUCAGCCUUCUCGGCGAAGUAAGGUGUUACAGUUUAUUGGGCUUGGCACAUUGCACGUCAAGUUAUUUUAUGAUUGGAUACUCUCAAGUGAGAUUUAGAGUUCGGCACUUCGACAGCCGAACCACGCUUAUUGUUAAGACUUAUAUCCGCUUUGAGUAUUUGUGCUUUUACACUUUGGUGUCGAUUCGGCGUGAAUUUACUCUAACGAAUACCAUCACUGUGACCGAAUCCAAUGACGACGAUUUGUGAACUUCAUAAGAAUAGUAGCCUUGUCUUUAGGUUCGAGAACCCAAGAGGCCAAGACGUGUUCCUUCCUCGGUCGCAAUCGCAAGACACAGAAGUCAGCUGCGCACCCAACGCAACAUCAACACAUUUUACUUCUCGGCCGAACUCGGUCGACGAGUUGGCACGCCGCACAUUCAACCAAAAGACGUAGUUAGCUCAUAGAUUACUCGACCUGCGCGCCACGUAGGCUUGGUAGUUUUUAGGGUCAACAGCUAUAAUUGACAAAUCUUAGUGUUAAUAAGGAAAAUCAAUAGGACAUUUAUGUGCUACUUUGUGGUGUGCUUUUAAUUCUAGCAAGUAUUCACUCGCGACAUGGCUCGCUGAGAGUUCAUCCCACUUUACAGAAGAGUAGGCAACAUAAGGAACAUAAGAAAACUCAAGGAUACUCAAGCUUAUGUUCAACUGGCACUCAACGCCUAGCACAGUUACAAGCAGAUUGCCGAGAAAAGCAGCACAUACAUGCAAGCCACCACCAAAAGUAGCUGAGGUGUUAUCGCCCAAAUGGAGGUGGGUCUAGGAAGAAGUUCAAGUUCAAGUUUAAUUGGCUUUUGAUGCCAAACGCAAUCACAAGUAGCCCACCACCAUCCAAAGAUGAAUAAUGUGUACCGUAGCCGUAACAUAAACGCGUAAGACACUGGAAGACCAGCGUAAACUCGUAGCUCACUGUUAAAUGUAGUCGAGGAGUCAUCACCCCAA
rnacentral:lncRNA from 1 species